UACACUCCUACGGGAGGCAGCAGUGGGGAAUUUUGGACAAUGGGCGAAAGCCUGAUCCAGCAAUGCCGCGUGAGUGAAGAAGGCCUUCGGGUUGUAAAGCUCUUUUGUCAGGGAAGAAACGGUGAGAGCUAAUAUCUUUUGCUAAUGACGGUACCUGAAGAAUAAGCACCGGCUAACUACGUGCCAGCAGCCGCGGUAAUACGUAGGGUGCAAGCGUUAAUCGGAAUUACUGGGCGUAAAGCGUGCGCAGGCGGUUUUGUAAGUCUGAUGUGAAAUCCCCGGGCUCAACCUGGGAAUUGCAUUGGAGACUGCAAGGCUAGAAUCUGGCAGAGGGGGGUAGAAUUCCACGUGUAGCAGUGAAAUGCGUAGAUAUGUGGAGGAACACCGAUGGCGAAGGCAGCCCCCUGGGUCAAGAUUGACGCUCAUGCACGAAAGCGUGGGGAGCAAACAGGAUUAGAUACCCGUGUAGUCCCAUGA
rnacentral:rRNA from 1 species